AUUGAACGCUGGCGGCAGGCCUAACACAUGCAAGUCGAGCGAGCGGCGGACGGGUGAGUAAUGUCUGGGAAACUGCCUGAUGGAGGGGGAUAACUACUGGAAACGGUAGCUAAUACCGCAUACCAUCAGAUGUGCCCAGAUGGGAUUAGCUAGUAGGUGGGGUAAUGGGUCACCUAGGCGACGAUCCCUAGCUGGUCUGAGAGGAUGACCAGCCACACUGAAACGUGGAAAAGGUCAAGACUCCUACGGGAGGAAGCAGUGGGGAAUAUUGCACAAUGGGCGCAAGCCGGAUGCAGCCAUGCCGCGGGUGUGAAGAAGGCCUUCGGGUUGUAAAGCACUUUCAGCGGGGAGGCGUUACCCGCAGAAGAAGCACCGGCUAACUCCGUGCCAGCAGCCGCGGUAAUUU
rnacentral:rRNA from 1 species